UACGUAGGCAGCAAGCGUUAUUCGGAUUCACUGGGCGUAAAGGGUGCGCAGGCGGCCAAGUGUGUUAGGCGUGAAAGCCCGGGGCUUAACCCCGGAAUUGCACCUAAAACUACAUGGCUAGAGCAUUGGAGAGGGUAGCGGAAUUCACGGUGUAGCAGUGAAAUGCGUAGAUAUCGUGAGGAACACCAGAGGCGAAGGCGGCUACCUGGACAAUUGCUGACGCUCAGGCACGAAAGCGUGGGGGAGCAAAAGGG
rnacentral:rRNA from 1 species